rnacentral:rRNA from 1 species
CGCAAGAUUAAAACUCAAAGGAAUUGACGGGGACCCGCACAAGCAGCGGAGCAUGUGGUUUAAUUCGAAGCAACGCGAAGACCCUUACCUAGACUUGACAUCUCCUGAAUUACUCUUAAUCGAGGAAGUCCCUUCGGGGACAGGAAGACAGGUGGUGCAUGGUUGUCGUCAGCUCGUGUCGUGAGAUGUUGGGUUAAGUCCCGCAACGAGCGCAACCCUUAUUGUUAGUUGCUACUAUUAAGUUAAGCACUCUAACGAGACUGCCGCGGUUAACGUGGAGGAAGGUGGGGAUGACGUCAAAUCAUCAUGCCCCUUAUGUCUAGGGCUACACACGUGCUACAAUGGCUGGUACAACGAGCAGCAAACCCGCGAGGGGGAGCAAAACUUGAAAGCCAGUCCCAGUUCGGAUUGUAGGCUGAAACUCGCCUACAUGAAGUUGGAGUUGCUAGUAAUCGCGAAUCAGCAUGUCGCGGUGAAUACGUUCCCGGGUCUUGUACACACCGCCCGUCACACCAUGAGAGCCGGUAACACCCGAAGCCCGUGAGGUAACCGUAAGGAGCCAGCGGUCGAAGGUGGGAUUGGUGAUUGGGGUGAAGUCGUAACAAGG